rnacentral:lncRNA from 1 species
CCGGACUGCAGACCGCCGCUGGAGACUCCGGACUGCAGACCGUUGCUGGGGGCUCCGGACUGCAGACCGUUGCUGGAAACUCCGGACUGCAGACUGUUGCUGGAGACUCCGGACUGCAGACUGUCGCUGGUGUCGCUGGUGGCUCCGGACUGCAGACCAUCGCUGGAGUCGCUGGAGGCUCCGGACUGCAGACCGUCGCUGGAGUCGCUGGAGGCUCUGGACUGCCGACCUUCGCUGGAGUUGCUGGAGGCUCCGGACUGCAGACUGUCGCUGGUGUCGCUGGUGGCUCCGGACUGCAGACCAUCGCUGGAGUCGCUGGAGGCUCCGGACUGCAGACCGUCGCUGGAGUCGCUGGAGGCUCUGGACUGCCGACCUUCGCUGGAGUUGCUGGAGGCUCCGGACUGCAGACCGUCGCUGGAGGCUCCGGACCGGGGACCCUCGCUGCAGGCUCCGGACCGGGGACCCUCGCUGCAGGCUCCGUGCCAUGGAUCGUCGCUACAGGCUCCGGGCCAUGGAUCAUCACUAGAGGCUUCGUACGUGGAGCCGGAACAGAGACGCACUGGAGGCCGGGUGAGUGGAGCAGGCACAAGAUAUACUGGGCCGUGGAGGCGCACUGGAGGUCUGGAGCGUAGAGCUGGCACAACCCGUCCUGGUUGGGAUGCUCACUUUAGCCCGGCAAGUGCGGGGCGCUGGCACAGGACGCACAGCUCACCACCAUUGGACUCUGGAGGAGUGGAAACACGUUCUCUGGAGUCAUUAAUCAUGCUUCACCAUCUGGCAGGCGGACAGCCGAAUCUGGGUUUGGCGGACGCCAGGAGAUCCUACCUGCCCUAAUGCAUAGUGCCAACUGUAAAGUUUGGUGGAGGAGGAAUAAUGGUCUGGAGCUGUUUUUUAUUGUUCAGGGCUAGGCCCCUUAGUUCCAGUGAAGGUAAAUCUUAAUGCUACAGCAUAUAAUGACAUUCUAGAUAAUUCUGUGCUUCUAACAGUGUGGGGAAGGCCCUUCCCUGUUUCAGCAUGACAAUGCCCCCGUGCACUAAGCAAGGUUCAUACAUAA